rnacentral:rRNA from 1 species
GUGCCAGCCGCCGCGGUAAUACGUAGGUGACGAGCGUUAUCCGGAUUUACUGGGCGUAAAGCGCUUGUAGGUGGCCUCGUAAGUUGGGCGUGAAAACUCCGGGCUUAACUCGGAGACGCCGUCCAAUACUGCGGAGCUAGAGGAUGUCAGAGGAAGGUGGAAUUCCUGGUGUAGUGGUGAAAUGCGUAGAUAUCAGGAGGAACACCCGUGGCGAAGGCGGCCUUCUGGGGCAUUCCUGACACUGAGAAGCGAAAGCUAGGGGAGCAAACAGGAUUAGAUACCCGCGUAGUCC